AGUUAGCUGACGAGUCCCAAAUAGGACGAAAUGCGCGUUGCCAUGGAU
rnacentral:hammerhead_ribozyme from 1 species